rnacentral:rRNA from 1 species
AACGUAGGUGGCAAGCGUUAUCCGGAUUUACUGGGCGUAAAGGGUGUGCAGGCGGGAGAACAAGUGGUGUAUGAAAUAACCAGGCUUAACCUGGUGGGGGUAUGCCAGACUGUUCUUCUUGAGGACGAGAGAGGGGCGUGGAAUUCCGGGUGUAGUGGUGAAAUGCGUAGAGAUCCGGAGGAACCCCAGAGGCGAAGGCGGCGCCCGGGCUCGUACCUGACGCUCAGACACGUCAGCAUGGGGAGCGAACGGG